AUGAUCCGUGUGGGACAGGGGGCGGGGCUCUUGUAAGAAAGUGCUGGAACAGUACCUGAUACUUCAUAAAUAUUUUUUAAACGUGCUUGCGUCUGAGACCAGUCUUCUUGUCAUCAGCACCAUUCUCGGGCGACUCUGAGAUGACCGUCAGGCGUGGAAAGGGUUUGUGUCAGAGCAAACGCUGCAGCGAGCGAGCAGGACGGCGUCAAGGCCCCGCUUCCUGGACAGGCACGCUGACGCUUACGGCCGGGGGAGGUCCGCCGAGAGGGAGGAAAGGGAGUUGGGACAAACAGACUGUCCCACUGUGCCAGCAUGUGCCCCCAGCCGUGGCGUGGACUUCCUGCCCCAGGACACAGCUGACCUUGGGAGAGUCACGGUCUGGUUUCUGUGAAUAGGUGUGCACAUUGCUGCAUAGCUUACCAACUUUUAGUGCAAAAUAAAAAGCUUUGACUAAAAGGUAUGACAAAUAUACUGUAUAUUUACCUCACCUUCAUUCCUGAAGGACGUUUUCACUGGCUAUAGAAUUCUGGGUUGAGGAUUUUUUUCCCCCCAGAUGCUGUUCUACCAUCUUCCGGCUUCCUGUUUCUGAUGAGAAGUCAGAAGUCACUGGAAUCAUUGUUACCUUUAGGUAAUUUGUCCCUUUUCUCUGGCUGCUUUCAAGAUUUUCUCAUCUUUACCUUUGGUUUUAUUUAUCCUGCUUAGAGUUCAUUGAGCUUCUUGGAUCUGUAAAUUUAGGUUUUAUACCAAAUUUGAAGAAUUUUCGGCCAUUACGUCUUCAAAUAUUUUUCUAUCCCAUUGUCUCUCUCUUCUCCUUAUGAAACUAUGGUUAUGCCUGUGGCAGACAGGCAUACUCAUUUAUUGGUUUGUUUGCUUACUGCCUGAAUUCCAGUACAGUGUUAGAUUCAUUCCAGUAUCUGGCGUAGACGCAACAAAUCUGUGCAGCAGCUGGCUCAUCACAGGUGCAUCCUUGAUGCCAUCACCCAGUUCACCCACUUCCCACCUGCCUCCCCUCUGGGAACCAUUGGUUUGUUCUCUGUAGUUAAGAACCUGGUUCUUGGUUUGUCUCUCUCUCUCUCUCUCUUCCUUCGCUCAUUUUGAAAUUCCACACGAGUGAAAUCAUACAGUAUUUGUCUUUCUCUGACUUACUUUGCUUAGCAUUAUACUCUCUAGCUCCAUCCAUGUCACUGCAAAUGGUAAGAUUUCAUUUUUUGUGGCUGAAUAAUAUCCCUGUGUGUGUGUGUGUGUGUAUGU
rnacentral:lncRNA from 1 species